rnacentral:tRNA from 1 species
GGUAAAGUGGCUGAGUAAAGCGGUAAAUUGUAAAUUUAUGAACGGGUUGACCCCUUUAUCA